rnacentral:rRNA from 1 species
UACAGAGGGGGCAAGCGUUGUUCGGAAUUACUGGGCGUAAAGGGCGCGUAGGCGGCCGCCUAAGUCAGACGUGAAAUCCCCCGGCUUAACCUGGGAACUGCGUCUGAUACUGGGAGGCUUGAGUAUGGGAGAGGGAUGUAGAAUUCCAGGUGUAGCGGUGAAAUGCGUAGAUAUCUGGAGGAAUACCGGUGGCGAAGGCGGCAUCCUGGACCGAGAUUGACACUGAGGAGCGAAAGCCAGGGGAGCAAACGGG